rnacentral:rRNA from 1 species
AGCGAACGCUGGCGGCAGGCCUAACACAUGCAAGUCGAGCGCCCCGCAAGGGUAGCGGCAGACGGGAGAGUAACACGUGGGAACGUACCCUUCAGUUCGGAACAACCAAGGGAAACUUUGGCUAAUACCGAAUACGUCCGUAAGGAGAAAGAUUUAUCGCUGAAGGAUCGGCCCGCGUCUGAUUAGCUAGUUGGUGGGGUAACGGCCCACCAAGGCGACGAUCAGUAGCUGGUCUGAGAGGAUGAUCAGCCUCACUGGGACUGAGACACGGCCCAGACUCCUACGGGAGGCAGCAGUGGGGAUUAUUGGACAAUGGGCGCAAGCCUGAUCCAGCCAUGCCGCGUGGAUGAUGAAGGCCCUAGGGUUGUAAAGUCCUUUCGGCGGGGAAGAUAAUGACGGUACCCGCAGAAGAAGCCCCGGCUAACUUCGUGCCAGCCGCCGCAGUAA